rnacentral:rRNA from 1 species
UGGAGCAUGUGGUUAAUUCGACGCAACGCGAAGAACCUUACCAGGGCUUGACAUCCCUGACCGCGUAUGAAAGUACGUUUCACCCUCGGGUGACAGGGAGACAGGUGGUGCAUGGUUGUCGUCAGCUCGUGUCGUGAGAUGUUGGGUUAAGUCCGCUAACGAGCGCAACCCUCGCUGUGUGUUACAAGUGUCACACGGGAACUGCCGGUCAUAAACCGGAGGAAGGUGGGGAUGACGUCAAGUCAGCAUGGCCUUUAUAUCCUGGGCUACACACACGCUACAAUGGGAAGGGACAAUAGGUUGCGAAGCCGCGAGGCGGAGCCAAUCCAGCAAAACUUCCCUCAGUUCAGAUUGCAGGCUGCAACUCGCCUGCAUGAAGUUGGAGUUGCUAGUAAACGCAGGUCAGCAUACUGCGGUGAAUACGUUCCCGGGCCUU